rnacentral:rRNA from 1 species
CCUACGGGUGGCUGCAGUGGGGAAUAUUGGACAAUGGGGGCAACCCUGAUCCAGCCAUGCCGCGUGUGUGAAGAAGGCCCUCGGGUUGUAAAGCACUUUCAGUGAGGAAGAACGCCUGGUGGUUAAUACCCAUCAGGAAAGACAUCACUCACAGAAGAAGCACCGGCUAACUCCGUGCCAGCAGCCGCGGUAAUACGGAGGGUGCGAGCGUUAAUCGGAAUUACUGGGCGUAAAGCGCGCGUAGGUGGCUUGAUAAGCCGGUUGUGAAAGCCCCGGGCUCAACCUGGGAACGGCAUCCGGAACUGUCAAGCUAGAGUGCAGGAGAGGAAGGUAGAAUUCCCGGUGUAGCGGUGAAAUGCGUAGAGAUCGGGAGGAAUACCAGUGGCGAAGGCGGCCUUCUGGACUGAUACUGACACUGAGGUGCGAAAGCGUGGGUAGCAAACAGGAUUAGAUACCCCAGUAGUC